GCCCCGAUCUCUUCUCUCCCUCUCUCGUCGUCGGAGAAGUGCAGCAGAGCGAGGUAACGCCCACGAGGCCAAGACCGCGAGGUUGACACCGCGACCAAGCCGCCACUUGAAUGCCUACUGAGCUUUGAAGGUUCUGGUGGAGAAAAUAAUAAUUCCUAGUGGUUUCUCUACUCCAUUGCAGGAAUCCUCUAUCUUACUACGAUGCUGUCAUUGGUGGAAUGGGAUUGCACGCGGGAUUAAUAUUCCAACUCUUGAAUUUGACAGAGUCCGAAAAUCAUUGCUAGUAUAGGUAAGCUGUAUACUUAAAGCUGAAGGACUUUUUGUUAAGAGACUAACUUACUCUUAAUGGCACAUAGUAAAGGCCACGGUUGACACAACUAGAACAAUGGCAUCUUUGUUUUUAUUAGUCAACCAAGGAGUCUGUUCAUGUUUCUACUGGGAGUCCAUUUGGGCAUCGUAACAUGACCUCUAUCACCUAUGUGUGAUCGUUUAAUCAUAAUUUGUAUAUAUGUCUUACCUCAUCGUGAAGAUCUUUUUAGCUGUCAGCUGGUAAAGAAGUAAACAUGUUGAAGAUUUUCAUUUGCAGUCUUGCAACACUAGCCUUCUUUGCAGAUAGUUCUCUGAUAUAUGAAGAAAACUAAAUGCCAAACUUCUAUAUAAGAGUUUAUCUACUGAAUGAUUGUUUCCCAGCUAGGUACUACUUAUGGUUUGGAUCAUACUGUUAAACUUUUAAAACAGCCACAUUGCCAAAGCUCCCGAUAAAUUUUUAAAAUGAUUUGGAUAUGUAGGAAAUGGAGAAAGUGGAGAUGUGAGAACAUGUUCAUGUUCCCCACUAUUCUUGAUGGAAAAGAUCAUCAUACCCCUAGGUCAUUUUCUUUUAUAAAUAGUACGUCCAAGGAUCAUCAGGAGUGCAACGUAGAGAGAGGAAGGAGAAUAUCUGAGUCGGUGGGAUUUGGUUUGUGGAAUUACGGAGAGCCUUCCGAUCCUGUGAUCGCUCUUCUGAUAGCGAGUCUUGCCGACGUCGAUUGCAGAUCUGCAAGAGAUCACUGUAAGCAUUUACUGUUUAUCAUUUUAAUUCGUAUCCAUGUAUUUAGAAUAAUCAACAAUGGUAUCAGAGUAGUGUUAGUUCUAAAUGCAUGUACGAUCUCCCGUUUUAAAAUCGAUGUCCUCU